GUAAAGCUGUUAAUAACAAACUGGUUAGGUAAGCAACAAUCAUAGAGAAAAAGAAAAAAUUGUUAGUGAGGAUAGAGAAGAGCAAAAAGAAGAAUAAAAUGAGAAUGAAAAUGAGACAACAAUAGAAAAAGAAAAAGAAAAAUAAAAGAAAAAUAAUUGGAAUUUAGGAAUGAAAAGAAUCACUUAAAAAAAAAGAGGAAGAGAAAAAAGCAAAAAAAGCAAAAAAAAAAGUUCAGAACUUGCCUUACCCACGGUAAAUCCAACAAGAAAAAGACAAGCAAAAACAAUAUGCAAGUGUUCUAGACAUUUUCAAACGAUUACAAAUAAACAUUCAAUUUACAAAAAUCUUAGAACAAAUGCCUACCUAUGCAAAAU
rnacentral:lncRNA from 1 species